rnacentral:lncRNA from 1 species
UUAGAGAAAAGAAUAAAAAUUUUAAAAAUCAAAAAAUAUAUAGAUUGAAAGUGUAGGAGUACUGGAGUAGAAAGAAUUAGUGUUUGUAGAAGAAAAUACAUGAAGAAUUAUUUGUUGUGAUGAAUUUGGAGAUUUAUAGGAGUAUUUAUAGAUAUAAAAAAAUUUAUUUUUUAAAUAAUAUGAAUUUUUUAAAAUUUUCUGACCAAAAUGCCCUAUCUAACAGCUAAAAUAUUGAAUGUUAGUGAGGGUUGAUUUAAAAAAUAUCUUUUUUAAUUUUUUUGACCCCCUUUUUGAAAAAAUAAAAAUUAAAAAGCAUUAAAAAAUAAAAAGGAAGGGACCCGUCCAUCUUUGGAGAUCAAAGGUCUUACAGGAUACAGGCCUAAAACCUAGUAGCCUACAGGUAGGGUCUAAGUCCCAGGAAACACUGGGCAAGGUCCUGCCGGCCCGGCAGACAUGGCCCGCCGUGCGGGGCUGUGGGCCAAUCGUCCGGCCUGGUACAGCCCAGGCACGACAUAGGCCGUGCCUUGCUAGGCCUGCGGGCCGUAAAAACUCAUCCCGGCACAGCCCAGAUUGUCAGGCCGGCUCGGCCCGGUAUGAAUGCUACAAUAGCCGUGCCGGGCCACGGCCCGGCCUGCAGUCGUGGUCGCGACCCGUUUUACAUCCCUACCUAUGGUUGAGGAGGUUACCAUACAAUUAUUUUUUUUAAAAAAAAAAUUGAAGAGUAAUAGAUUGUUCUAAAACAGAUUGAGACAUCCUGUUUGGAAAACAUAGCAUAGUUGACACCCUACUUUUAUAUUACAAGAAUUGCAGUUCAUGCUACACUGCUUUAUCACGUUAAGCUAUCACAUACAUAUAUAUAAGCAAUAUUGAGCAGUCAAUACUCGUUUCAAGUCCUUCUCUAUCAAGAAGUUGAUCGAUCAUUUUACGACAACCAAUACAGAAGACGCAUCAAAAGAAUUAUGCUCCUACAGCAAGGAUGUGGAUUAUAAUGAAAUAGAAAUACAUCAAAAGCACUUAAAUCACCUAACCUUUAGGUAGCUCACCUUAGAAUUUAAAAGUAAUUUGUUCAUACGAUCCAAGAUGUUUGGGCAUAGGUUUAUAUAAUGUGUGUUUAGGCUUGUGUUAGGUUAGGGGUUUGAUUUGGUUAAACUUUUUUGGUUUCUAAUAAGGCCCAUCAAGUUUGGGUUGGGUUAAGCUUAUGUGCUUCAAGCUCAAGUUUGGGUUGGAUUUGGAAUUCGGGGUUUGGCUCAGCUUAAGGUCCGUCCAGAUUAAAUUCAUGUUUAGGUUGGAUUUAUAUUUUAGUUGUGGGCUAUUAGGCCCUGGUUUAGUUUUAGGUUUAGGCUUGAUAUGGUUUGGGUUGGUUUCAUACGGUUUGGUUGAGCCUCAUAUUCAAAUUUGGGUCUGGGCUCAGUAUGGGCUCAUAUAGUUCAACUUAUUGGUUGUGGAUCUAGAGUUGGACUAAAUUCAAGCCCUAUAGUUUGGAUUUACAAUCAAGCCUGGGUUUGACUUGAGCUCACAUUUGGGCUUGGGCUUCACUGGCUCCGUCAGAUUUCUCAAUUCCCCAGAUGAGAGUCAGAAUGAUUCGGGCUCCAAAAAUGACCCUCCAAAAUUUCUUUUGGGCUCCCGAUUCAUGUUCGGGACGUCCGAAGAGUGGUGGAAGCUCUGAUUCGCAGAGUUUGAAAUAUGAAAGUAUGAAAGUAUUAUUUUUGGUACUUUACUUUCAACCAGCAAAUCAUAUCCUAAGUGAGAGGUGUAUUUUGUAUAAAGUGUGUUUUGUAUUCUCACUAAUAAUUAUUUAAUUUCGAAUAUUAAUCUAUAUUUAUGUAAGGACUGAGAUUUUCGACAGUGCAACUAAACUCUCUGUUGAUGAUGUUUAUGUGUGUAAUUUAAUUACAUAAGCACUCGUUAAAUUUCAGGCGAAACCGAGCUAAAAUGGAGAAGUUAUGAGACCCGGAAGUUCGACUUAAGUGAAUAGUAACUUCGGUUUUCCGGAGAAGCCACGAAGCAAACUUGGCCUCUGGCGCGUACAGACCUCUGAAUAUAGGACUCCAAUAGCUCGUUUUGAACCUCUCGACUAUACUGGAACCAUUGGCGCUGACAGAAUCGGAUUCUGAUGCACGGUUUUCGAGAAAAAGGAGUUUUAUCAAAAAGAGGGUUUUCGUUCUUCGCUAUUCUUGCGUUAUGACACCCCUCGUGAUCUGUGUAUGUGACCAAGAGUAAGGUGAGGGAUGUUAUAGAUACCUACUAGUGGUAGGAGAUUCAAAUUUGAAUUUGAAUCAAAGGAUUUAGCGGGAUUACACAUUGGUAUGUGUGUGUGGUUUUUGAAAUUGGAGAGCGGACGGAUUUCGUCGUGAAUCGGAGGUCAAAUCUGACGAAACAAAAUGGCAGUUUUGAUGCCCUCGUCGUGCUGAACGCGAUGGUGCAAUCCGUUCGGAAAUCCGAUGAACGGAUUGUCCGAUAAUGCAUGAAGUUUAUUAAGAGGUCGAAAGUGGCAAAACGGAAAAUCCGCGAAAAGCGCGACAUUUUAUGUAUCGAAUCGCGUGAGAUCAAACAUAGAGGUGUGUUAGCGCAAAUCACUCACGCUGUGAAGGGCUGGGUUGCAAAUAAUGACUUUUGGGGGACUAGUUCGCAUUUUAUGCAAAAUAUAUAUUGGGUAGCUAGGUUUUCACCAUGGAAACCCUAGACCAGCCGUUACCAAUCCCCAACUUCGCCCUAGCCGACACCUCUGCACACCUGCCCAACCCUUGCGCGCACCCCGGCCGCCGGCAGGUGCCCCGGCCGCCGGAAAACUCGAACCCGGCCACCCCCUCCAUCAUUCCCUCUCAAUUAACCCACCAACCUCCUCCAUUCCUAUACGUGGGCAACCCAGGAAUGUUCUCACCCUCGGGCCCCCUCCCCUGGCCAUGCCCGACCUCCGGCGACUGCCGGCGUGCCGUCGUCACUGGCCCCGCGCGCAGCCGCUGCUGCCUUGGCAGCCUGCAGCCUUGCUGGCCGAGCUCGGGCCGGGACCGAGCUGCUGCUGGCCUGCGCGCCGCCGCCACCUGGUGACGGCCGUGCCGCCUCCCUCCGGCCUCCCGCCGGCACCUCCGCGACCGGCCAGAGUGGCCGCCGCCGUCGCUCCUGCGGUCUGCGGCCAGCCGAGCGAGAUCUGGCCGUGGGUGGCCAGAUCUCUCUCCCCCGCAUCGCCGCUGUCCAGGCUCGGCCGGGCCGCCUCCCGCCGGCCUCUGACAACCGCUCGCCGUCGCCCGGAGCUCCCCCAGCCGUUCUCGUGGCCGCCGGCCGCCGCUCCCUCUCCCUGCGGCCGCGCAAGGUUUGCGGGCCGAGCCGCACCCCACCGCCGGCGCGCCUCCCCACCACCUCUGACCGUCGCCGCCGACCUCUGGGAGGUCACCGCCGCCGCCCUGAGCCGUUCCGAGGUCGCCGUCGCCGGAGAAGCCGAACCCAAGCUCCUCUCUCCCCGCGCGGGCUCGGUUUGGUCCAGCACCGCCGCAGCCGCCUUCCGCCGUCGAACGACGUGAGCACGGGUCCCUCCUGGUCGGCCGCACUCGUCCGCCGUCGUCGCCCGCGCCGCCGGAGCUCCUCGUCGGCCGGAGCGAGCCGUGUCCUCUUCGGGUUUGGAUGCCUAGGGCAUCAUUGGCCGUCGCCGCCGCCGCUUCCAGCCGCCAACCGAGGUGAGCACGGUACUCCUCACCUCCCCCGCACCCGUCCCUGGCCGCCGCGCAUGCCGCCGUGCUGCCGGAAGCCGGCCGGAGCAACCUUGCUCCGGCCAAGCCCGAAAUAGGGCUUAGUUUAGGACGGAUUCGUGUUCUGAGCUUCCCGAGCCUCCCUGAUCAAUACGGAAGUCGGAAGGGAGCACGAUGAUCGUGACUCAUUUCUGAUCAUCGUGCUCACCUUGGAUUUUGCCGGGGAGACUCCGUUCCGCUGUUUCGGCAGUGUCGACCCUGUCAAGCCUGUUUGGCUGCUGUUUUUGGGUUUGCGCACGCUUAUCCGGCGAUCUGAGGCUGUCCUGAUGCCUCCGGAGGUGAGCACGGUGAUCGUGGGUCAGUGCUGAUCACAGUGCUCACCUCACUUUGAAUCAACAGUGUCCGGUUAGCCCUGUUUGGCGCAAUCUUCCCCGACUGCGCGCUGUUCGCUGAACCUUCGGGUUGCUCCCGUGUUUCCCACAGUGACCUGUUGCGCUCCAGAUCGUGAGCACGGCCUCCGGUACGUCGAGACCUAUCAGUAUGUGUCUCAGCAGAACUUAGAAGUCCUCGGUUUGCGUGUACGGGCUAUGUUAUCACCCAAUUUACAUGAAAUAUUGGGAUUUUAUGUAAAUUCAGGGGCUUUUGUGCAAUUGUGCACCUUGGGGCUACUGUGGACAGUGUGUGUGAGUGUGUUUGACCUCUGGACUGAUUGUCCAUGUUCUGUUAGCUUUUGCAGAAAUCGAAGAGUCGAUUUCGAUGCGUUUUUCGGCAAAAUUCGCCGAAAGAACGCGGUUUCGGUUCGGAUUUCUUUCGACGUCGUUUGGUUGUUCUGUGGGUGGUCGCUAAGCCUUGUUGGCUGGUCACCAUCAUCACUUUGUGGGUUCGGUGAUGACGGGUGAGCGACGGUGGGUUACGGUGUCGAAUUUGACACUUUCGGGAACCCGUAUUCGUACAAUUAUCCGGCGAUAAUUGUGUCGUGGUGUUAUCUUAUGUUUGCUGCCAAAACAUCCAAAUUGGAGUGUUUUGUGGCAGCGGGUGACUUGUAGCAUGGGUUGGUGCGUUCCGGGACAUUUCAGUGGUUCCGAGGAGUCCCGUUGCGAUUUACGGGACUUCCGGCGAGUUACGGUAGUCGGUUUUGGGAAACUGAUCUCCGUGGGUUGUUAGUGGGAUUAUGAUGUAGUGUUUCUUAGUUGUGGGUUAGAUACUAACCCGGUGGACCCUCUAUAGGUCCUGUCGACUUUCUUUUGCAGUCAGGAGACAGACGCGACAUCCGUACAGGUGGGUACUUCGAUCCGACGUCGGUACAGUGGUGCACGCUUGGUGAUGGUUUCUUACCCUUACCCUUCUGUUGUUACUAUCGCAUAGUAUAUUGAGCUUGCAUCCCCGUUGUUUCUAUUAUACUCUACUCAUAUGUUUCUAUGCUUAGUAUUAUGUGUAGGAAUAGAGUAGUUUAUCCAUAUAUGAUACCGGUGACCUGAUUGGUCGGUUCUCGCACUUUGUUUCGGUGACCUGGUUGGUCGGUUGUUGCAUUAUGUAGUGGGUUGGUCUAUUUCUUGACUUCUGUCGUUCGAUGACCUUUGAGGUCGGUGUACCCUGAGGGGUAGGAUUGUCGGCUGGUGCUGACGGUAGUUCUGGACUAUAUCGAAUACACUCCUGUGACUUAUCGGUCGGUUCUUGCGUUCGUACUUUUAGUUGACAUCGAGCAGUAUCUACAUACUAUCUUUAUUUACUCUGCCUAGUUGUUCUAUGUGUAGUAUCCUGUAUAGGGGUAGAGUAGACGGCAUUCGUAUAUACUAUACUUGUGACCUGGUUGGUUGGUUCUCCUGUUUGCAUCGGUGACCUGUUUGGUCGUUCGUUACUUUCCGUAUAUUGACCUCUCUUGGUCGGUUCACGUUGUUACUUGAUGACCUACACGGUCGAUUAGCCCCAAGGGGCGGUGAUUGUCGGUUGAUUGCCGACGGUUGGCUAUUGAUCAUAUCCGCAUUGAUCGCCACAGCUCGAGUGCAUUUCACGUACACCAGCGGGUUGAUCCCCCGCAGGAGGGUGUUCUUUUCCGGAAAAGUGGUCGUACAUCCGACCCGUGAGCCCAGCGGUGUUCUCUUUGUGCUAGGGUUACAUGCCAGGUGUGAGCAGAUAGUGGCUUUUGCCUGAGGUCCUUAGACCGACACGGCGGUUUAGAUUGGGUACUUUUGGACUUCUCGUCCGGUUGACGCAUAUAGCUAUAGUAGCGGUUGUUGCAUAUAUACUUCUAGUUCUUUCUUUACAGUUGUCUUGCUACUAUAGUUUUGAUAUCCUUGUAUGCUUGCAGUUGUACAUUACAGUAGCGGUAGUUGUGUUUUCAUAUAUAUAUAUCUCGUUCGUUCAUUAUCGUUGCUACUGUAUUUUACUUACCCAUACUGUUUGUUAUCUCUUCCUGAUCCGGUGAGUACUCCUCGCCUUCUUCGGCUUGCGGUACCCACUGGGAGGGGAGACAUGUUUACAUGUUCUCACCUCCCCCACCAUUUUUCAGGUAUCGCGGGUGAUGAGUAGUGGGACGAGACGUGAGAUACGUGUUUAGCGGUCGAUAGAGCUUCCGACCCAGGUUAUUUCGAUUUAGUUAUUAUCCUUGGUAUUUUGUUGAUAUAUAGUUUAGUCGGUUUAUGUGGUUCAGUAAUUAUUUACAUUUGAAAGAGUGGAUUUCUGGAUUUUAUAAAAUAAAAGGUUUUCUACCCCUCGUGGUAGCGUUUUUAAAAGAAUAAAGGUUUCUGUGUAGGGAACAGCUUUCAAAAGAUUUUUAUGGAUUUCUGUUUAAACCUUGAAUGUAAAACUGUGAUGUGAAUGGUGAUUGUAUGAAUGUAUAGUUAUCCUUAUAUUCAUCUGGUUGUGGUUGUAUCCUGGUUGUAUUGUGUAUUUGAUCGACGCCGUGCAAAUACAGGGGAGACUCUGUCCGUGUGAAUAGUGGAUUCUCUGUAUUUGUGGCGGAUCUGGCAUACCCUGGGGUCAGGUUUUCAAAAAAAAUUUUAGACGCUUUUCCGCUUUGUUUUAAACUGAAAAGGGACCCCGGGGCUUGACAAUUUAACUUUAAAUUAUAAUUUUAUAUUUUAAUUUGUAUUGUUAAUUCAAUAUUUAAAUUUUACUUUUCUAACUUCAAGUUUCAAUUCCAAUAUAAGUUUGAUGUUUAAAUUGAGUUCUAAAUUUAAAAUUUGUCUUUGGACUUAAACUUGAAUUAUAAAUUUAAUGCUAAAUUCAAAUUGGGUUUGAAUUUAAAUAUUAAUUAUGGAUUUAUAAAAUAAUUUUUUAAUUUAAAUUUUAAUAAAAUUUUGAUUCUGAUUCCGAUUUUGAAUGAACCUAACAAAUUGAAGCUUUUAUAAAUUUAAAGAUAGCCACCGAAAAGAGACGACCUUUUAUAAAUAAAUUGAAGGAUAAUUAAUUAUUUUGUAAGAAAAAUAAAUUUUUUAAAUUUUAAAAAAUUUCUAAAAAUUAUAUUGCAAUUUUUGCCUUAUUUUUGGGAAAAAACUAAUUAAAAUGCAAAAGAGAUAAUCAAGAAUAAUCCAAGUACAUGAAAAGGCUUAAAUAAAAUAGUAUAUUAUAAAUAAGCAUAAAAUCUCUUUCUCAAAUAGAGUUACUAAUUACGUUGAUAUUUUGAUCAGACACCACAUACGAAAUAUUGUAAAAACAACACUGAUUUUUUCUGCCUUUCUUUAUACACUGAUUCUUUCUGCCUUUUUUUAUACAUUAGAAUGAGAAAGUAAUUUUAUUUUUGAGUUUAAAGUUAUAAGAUUAUAUGCAAAAUAUAUGAACAACAUAAAUAGUAACUACAAUCCAAAAUAGAAAUUUAUUAAACUAUUUUAUAAAAUUUAGAGAGUAUAAUUAUCAAAAAUUAAAAGUGUGAAACAAACUUGUGAACAAGCUUAACAAACUUAAGUUCAGAGUAUUUUUUUCUUUUAUUUUUCUUUUUCCUUUAGGGCCUGAUUGGUCACUUGAUAUUUGUAUAGCAGUAUUCUAUGUACCAUUUUGCUCUUUAGAUUAAGAAUGUAAAAGUAUUUCAUCAUAAUAAAUUAGUCGGUAUAGAAUCAUUUCUCUUAUAAAAACUUGUUGUUUUUAUUUUUUUUUAAUGCCAGCAUAGUUCAUAAUUUGUUUAUGUGAUGAAUAACUUUUGAUAUAUUUAAUUAACUCAAUUUAUUUAAAAAGCUUAAAAUAAAAAUUUUAUGCUAAAAAUAAAUAAGGUAUAGAUAAAAUGCUAAUAGAUUUUAUAAUAUAUCUUAAAUAAAAGAAUUACAGUUAAAAAAACAAAGAUUGAACUAUGUAUGCUUUAUGCUAACAAUAAAAAUUUUAUGCUUAAAAUAAAUAAGUCACUAUAUUUUGAUCUAUGUAUGCUCUAUGUUUGUAGAGUUUUACUAAAAAUUUUCAUUGAUUCCAUCAUAACCAGUGGCAUAUGAUCCCGUGCUUUUGCGGAUUUUUUAAUUGUGUGAUUUUUUAGCUCUUAGAUCAACCCCAUUGAUCAUUUCUAACCAUUGGAUUAAUAUUAUUAACCAAUAGGGACCACUCAACCCUAAGGGGACCACUAUCAUCCUAACCAUAGAAUCUUUGAUCCAAGGGCUAAAAAAUCGAAAGCACUAACUACUUUAUACUUCCGAUAGCAUAGUAGCUCUACACAAUAUAUACGUAUAUUAUAAGGAUAAUUGCCUAUAUACCCCUCAUACGUAUAUUAUAGAGAUAAAUAUUUUUCUUCUCACGUGUAAUAUCCGCACCCCCAAUUCUUUCGCAACAUAAUAUUCGUGAAUUUCUCAAAUAUCUCAACAUAAUUAUAGGUGAUUUUGAAAUAAAAUCCCCUUCAUUAUAGGUGAUUUUUAAUAAUAUAGUAAAAGAUAUUAAUUUUUUGCCUUCUCAAAAUAUUUGCUUUCUCACGCGUAAAUUAUAUUAAUUAUAUUUAAUUGGUAUAAUAAAAGUUAAUAAUAAUAUAUUAAUUUUAUUUCCUAAUUAAUAAAAAUAUAAAGUAAUUAUAGUUAUUAGUAUUGAUACCCUAAUUAUAAUAAAUGUAAUCGAACUGUUCUCGAGCCGACCACGAGCGAGCUGACCCUACCUUGUGUUCGGCUCGCUUAUUAAACGAGCUGGAAAAUCCAGCUCGUGUUUAGUUCAUUUAUUAAACGAUCUCUCUCCCUCUAGGGUUUGAUGAUCUAUCAGUUUCUAUUUUAGAUGUACCUUAUAAUGCUGAAAUUUUCACCGGUGCCUUCAUUGUGGCGUCUCAUUCUGUUUUUUGUCGGAUCACAUUUCGCCAAUUUUUUUAUUGUGAGAGCGAGGAGGGACCUAUUGAGGGACCUGUUGAGGACUACACCAGAGUCGAGAUUGUGGAUGACCGGGGCAGAGGUGUUGGGGAAACAAGCGAAGUCCGCAUCGACAUUCCUGAUGUGGACAACAUGAACAACAUAGAGGGAGGAGAUGGUGGAGGCGACAUCGAACUGGAUGAUCGUCUUUAGGGGUGACUCCACCUCCAACAGUACCUCCUUCAUCUUUCAUUAUAUUUACAUCUCAAACGAUGAAGUUGAGGAGUUCAAGAAGUUCCUAUCUGUCGAGGCUUAGGCCAUAAUCUUUCCUUUUAUAUUGUUUCUGUGUGUCGUCGCCUAUUUUUGCUGAUGAAUAUUUUCAGUUGAAAUGUUCGUGGUCUUAUAACCAAGUAAGCGAUGUCUGGUCAAGCCGGUCGUGUCUAAUAUUUUUUCACUUGUUGCAUGUCCUCAUGAGACUGUAGAGGAGUAACAAGUGCUUCUUCCUGCACACUUUCUUCAGACAGAGAUCUUCUCAUCACGAUCAUAAUUCACAGUUAAAUUUCAAAUUUGAAAGUUUUAAAUUUAUAUUUAUAAUUGAAUCCCAAAUUAAAACUACAAUUUAAAAUUUGAAUGCAAAAACUAAAAUUUGAAAUUGAAAUUUAAAUUCAAAAUUUAAAUUUAGUUUUUGAUUUUGCUGGAUUCAGAUUUUAGUAAGAAAGUAUUAUCUAAUUCUGUUUUUGCUGACGUUAUGGUCUCCAUGAAAUCAAUUAUGUUUUUCUCAAACCGACUUGAUAUUUGUAUAGCAGUAUUCUAUUUACUAUUUUGCUCUACUAGAUUAAGAAUGUAAAUAUAUUCUAUCAUAAUAAAUUAGUCGGUACGGAAUCAUUUCUCUUAUAUGAAUUUGUUACUUUUAUUUUUUUUUAAUGCCCGGAUAGUUGAUAAUUUGUUUAUGUGAUGAAUAAUUAUUGAUAUAUUUUAGUAACUCAAUUUAUUUAAAAAAUUAAAGUAAAAAUUUUUUACAAACAAUAAAUAAGGUAUGGAUAAAAUUCUAAUAGAUUUUAAUACAUCUUAAAUAAAAGAAUUACAGUUAAAAAAACAAAGGUUGGAAUGAUUUUAUGCUAACAAUAAAAAUUUUAUGCUUAAAAUAAAUAAGUCACUAUAAUUUGAUGCAUGUAUGCUUUAUGUUUGUAGAGUUUUACUAAAAACUUUCAUUGAUCCCAUCAUAACCAGUGGCAUAUGAUCCCAUGCUUUUGCGGAUUUUUUAAUUGUGUGAUUUUUUAGCCCUUAGAUCAACCUCAUUGAUCAUUUCUAACCAUUGCAUUAAUAUUAUUAACCAAUAGAGACCACUCAACCCUAAGGGGACUGCUAUCACCCCAACCAUAGAAUUUUUGAUCAAAGAGCUAAAAAAUCGAAAACAUCAACGACUUUAUGCCUCCGGUAGCAUAGUCGAUCUACACAAUAUAUACAUAUAUUAUAUUAAUGUAAAAUAAAUGUAAUCGAACUGUUCUCGAACCGACCACGGGCGAGCUGACCCUAGCUCGUGUUCGGCUCGCUUAUUAAACGAGUUGGAAAAUCUAGCUCGUGUUUAGUUCGUUUAUUAAACGAUCUCUCUCUAGGGUUUGGUGAUCUAUAAGUUUAUAUUUUAGAUGUACCUUAUAAUGCUGAAACUCUCACCAGUGCCUUCAUUGUGGCAUCUCGUUCUGUUUUUUGUCGGAUCACGUUUUGCCUUUUUUUAAUUGUGCGAUUUGCGCGCGAAGUUUUCUCGGAGGAGUAGGAGUGGUGGGAAGACGAGGAGAGACCUAUUAAGUGACCUGCUGAGGACUACACCAGAGUGGAGAUUGUGGACGACCAGGGCAGAGGUGUUGGGGAAACAAGUAAAGUCCGCAUUGACAUUCUUGAUGUGGACAACAUGAACAACGUAGAGAGAGGAGAUGGUGGAGGCGACAUCGAACUGGACGAUCUUCUUUAGGGUUGACUCCAGCUCCAACAAUACCUUCUUCAUCUUUCAUUACAUUUACAUCUCGAACGAUGAAGUUGAGGAGUUCCAGAAAUUCUAUUUGUCGAGGCUUAGGCCCUGAUCUUUCCUUUUAUAUUGUUUCUGUGUGUCGUCGCCUAUUUUUGCUGAUGAAUAUUUUCAGUUGGAAUGUUCGUGGCCUUAUGACCAAGUAAACAAAGUCUGGUCAAGCCGGUCAUGUCUAAUAUUUUUUUCUACUGUUGCUUGUCCUCAUGAGACUGCAGAUUAGUAAUAGGUGCUUCCUCCUGCACACUUUCUUCAGACAGAGAUAUUUUCAUCACGAUCAUAAUUUAUAGUUAAAUUUUAAAUUUGAAACUUUUAAAUUUAAAAUUAUAAUUAAAUUCCAAAUUAAAACUAUAAUUUAAAAUUUGAAUGCAAAAAAUAAAAUUUGAAAUUGAAAUUUAAAUUCAAAAUUUAAAUUUAGUUUUUAAUUUUGUUGGAUUCAGAUUUUAGUAAGAAAGGAUUAUCUAAUUCUAUUUUUGCUGGCGUUAUGGUCUCCAUGAAAUCAAAUAUGUUUUUCUUAAAUCGACUUGAUAUUUGUAUAGUAGUAUUCUAUUUACCAUUUUGCUCUACUAGAUUAAGAAUGUAAAUAUAUUCUAUCAUAAUAAAUUAGUCGGUGCAAAAUCAUUUCUCUUACAAGAACUUGUUGUUUUUAAUUUUUUUUAAUGCCCGCAUAGUUGAUAAUUUAUUUAUGUGAUGAAUAACUGUUGAUAUAUUUUAUUAGCUCAAUUUAUUUAAAAAAUUAAAAUAAAAAUUUUAUUCUAAAAAUAAAAUAGCUAUGGAUAAAAUGCUAAUAGAUUUUAUAAUAUAUCUUAAAUAAAAAAUUACAGUUAAAAAAAAAAGGUUGGAAUGAUUUUAUGCUAAUAAUAAAAAUUUUAUGCUUAAAAUAAAUAAGUUAUUAUAUUUUGAUCAAUGUAUUUUUUAUGUUUGUAGUGUUUUACUAAAAACUUUUAUUGAUUCAAUCAUCAUAAUCAGUGGCAAUGUAAGAGCUACUGCGUCUAAUACUGCUCAGCAUUUUCAUAUGGCCCUUCUUUUUGUUCAUAACCUACACCAAAAUGGUCUCCAUCUCGGAGCUUCGUACAUUGGUACUGAUCUCAUCGUACUUGGACAAGACUUGCUUGAGGAAUGCUGCAACUGUGAAGAUGAGGAUGUUUCGAACGAAGAUGACGGCGGAGGGGAAGGUGGGAAUGGGGAUGAUCCGUCGUACUCGGCCGACCUCCGCUGGGACAGAGCUGUGGUGCCCGGGCGGCACCCCUCCUUCUCUCCGGAGAUCCAGAUCGACCUAUAAAAUGAGUAACCACGGCCACGACUACGGAGAAAGAUGAGGAGGAGACGGGAGGGGAGAAAUCAUGUGUUCCUUCCUCCUCGUCCGCUUCGACCAACUCGGAUGAUUGAGGUGACUCUCUGAAAAAAAAAAUCUCGAUUCAAAAAUGGGAUUCAGUAUAAGAAAAAAUAUGCGGGAAAGAAAGGCGCGGUCCACGAGGUCCGCUCCACCUCGUGAACAGCGUGAGGAAGGUCCAUGAUGGACCUCGCGGCGUUGCGCACGCCUCGCAGGAGAAAAAAGGUGUGGUCCACGAGUUCUGCUCCACCUCGUGGACCGCGUGAGGAGAUAGACCUCUCUCUCUAAUCCUCUUAGUAAAUGUCACAAAUACCCUAACAAAAUUAAUAAUAUCCUAUAUAUACUCCUACAAGUGUAAAAAAAUUAUCACAAAUAUCCUUUAUUCUAACAGACGUUAAGGUUAAGUAUAAAUUCUAAUUUAGAUUUUAAAUUUUUAAAUUUUAUGUUUCAAUAUUUAAUAUUUAAUUUUUAAUUUUUAAUUUUUAAUUUUUAAUUUUAACUCUUAAUUUUUAAUUUUUAAUUUUUAAUUUUUAAUUUUUAAUUUUUAAAUUUCAAGUUUCAAGUUUAAAUUUUUAAAUUUUAAGUUUCAAGUUUCAAAUUUAAAAUAAAUUUUAUGAACUUCAAAUUUAGAUUUUCUUUUGGGAAUUUUUUUUGUUAAAAAAAUUUGAAAAAUAAUUUAUAGUUAAAUUCAAAUUUAAAAUUUAAAUUUAUAAAUUUUAUAUUUUUAUUUUACAUAAAAUAUAAAUUUAAGUUUGUGCUUAAAUUUAAAAUUAAAAAUAAAAUAAAACUUCAAAUCAAAUUUUAAAUUGUUAAAUAAAAUUUAGAAUUUUUCUGAAAAAAAUAUAAAUAAAUAAACAGCAAAUCAAGCCACGACAAGAGCUACAAUGAAAUUGUUAUUAUGAAUACUGUUGAUAUAUUUAUUAGCAAUUAUAAAAACUAAAAAAAAAUGUGCUAAAACAUAAAUAGAUAGGAUAAAAUGCAAAAUUUUAUAAAUAUCUUAACUAAAAAAAUUACAGUUAAAAAAGAAAGUUGGAAUGAUUUAUGCUAAUAAUAAAAUUAUGCUAAAAAAAUAGUUAUUAUUUUAUCAAUGUAACUUUUAUUUGUAGUGUUUUACAAAAACUUAUUGAUUAACCCUCAGUAAUAACAUGGCAAUGUAAAGCUACUGCCUAAUACUGCUCAGCAUUUAAAUAUGCGCUUCUUUUGUCAUAACCUACACCAAAAUGGUCUCCAUCUCGACGUCUACAUUGUACUGAUUCAAUCGACUUGGACAAGACAGCUGAGGAAUGCUGCAACUGUGAAGAUGAGGAUGUUUGAACACGAAAUUACGCGGGAGGAAACGGAAUCGGAUGCUCCGUCCGAACUCCGCCGACUCCCGGACAUAGCUGUGGUCCGGGCGCACCUCCUCCUUCCCCGAGACCCAGAUGAACCUAUAAAAUGAUAACCACGGCCACGACACGAGAAAGAUGAGGAAGGAGACGAGGUAGGAAUCAUGUGUUCCUCCUCCUCGUUCCGCACUCGCCGACUCGUAUGACGAAGGAGAAUAUGGCUCCUUCCUCCUCGCUGCCUCGAUAAUUAGGUACUCUCUGAAAAAAAAAUUUACGGUUCAAAAGCCAUUAGUAUAGAAAAAAAUACUGGAAAAAGCGCGGUACACGAGUCGCUCCACCUCGUGAACCGCAUGAAGAAGGUCCAGAUGGACCUCGCGACUGCCAGCCUCGCAGAGAAAAAAGCGCGGUCCACCAGGAAGGUCCAGAUGGACCUCGCGGCGUGCGCAUGCCUGCAGGAGAAAAAAGGCCGGUCCAACUAGUUCCGCUCCAUCUCGUGACCGCAUGAAGAGAUGGACCUACUCUUAAUCCCUAAAUAAGAAGCACAAAUACGCUAAAAUAAUAAUAUCCAUAAACCCCUAAAGGAAAAAAAUUAUCAACAAUACUUUAUCUAACAACGUAAGGUUAAGUUAUAAUCAAUUAGAUUUAAAUUUUAAAAAUUUAUGCUUCAAAAUUUAAUUUUAAUUUAAAUUUCAAUUUAAUUCUAUUUAAUUAAUUUAAAUUCAAGUUUCAGUUUACAAAAUUUUAAAUUCAAAUUCAAUUUCAAAUUACAAUAAAUUUAUGAACUCCAAAAUUUAGAUUUGAAUUUAAAUUAUAUUUAUAGUUAAUAUUCAAAUUAAAAUUAAAUUUAAAUUUUAUAUUUUAUUUAAAUUAAAAUAUUAAAUUUUGUUUGCUUAAUUUUAAAAUUAAAAUUAAAAAUAAACUUAAAUUCAAAAUUCAAUUAUUUAAAAUAAAAUAGUAAUUUUUCUCAAAAGAAAAUAAAAUAAUAACAAAACAUAGCCACGACAGAGCACAAUGAUAAUUUUUAGUGUAUACUUUGAUAUAUUAUUAGCUACAAUUUAAUUUAAAAACGCUAAAAUAAAAAGUAGGCUAAAAAUAAAUAUUAUGAUAAAUGCUAAUAGAUUAUAAAUAUAUCUUAAAUAAAAAAAUAAGUUAAAAAAAGGUUGAAUGAUUUAUACUAAUAAAAAAAUUAUGCUAAAAAAAUAAGUCAUAUAUUUUGAUCAAAGUAUAUUUUAGUUUGAUGUUUAUUAAAAUCAUUGAUUCAAUCAAUAAUCAAUGCAAAGUAAAGCAACUGCUCCUAAUACUGCUCCGCAUUUUCAUAUGCCCUCUUCUGUUCUAAACCUAGUCACCAAAACGCCAUCUCUCACUCUUAAGUUAUUACUGUAUCAUCUCGUACUUGGACAAGACUGCUAGAAAUCUGCAUUGCGAAGAUGAAGUUUGUUUUGUUUCGUAACCGAGAAUACGGUGAGGGGAGGUGGAAUGGGAUGAUCCUCGUCCUCUCCGACCUCGCCUGACAAACGCUGUAGGUGCACGGCGCGCCCCUACCUUCCCCCGGAGAUCAAUCGACAAAUAUACAAUAUAACCACGCGAGUCACCCAUAUCGACAGAUAGUCUUAAUGAGUAGGACAUCAACAGGUACGGAUACCUAUUUUUUUUUAACCCAAUUUGAAUUGAUCAAAUGAUUACUCUCAGUUAAUCGGAUGAGGAACUCCAAUAUUAAAUAAAAACACAAUUUAGAUUCACAUAUAAUUUUAUCUGAUUCGAUACACACGAAAAACGAUUUAUAUAUAACUGUACACAAAUUGAAAUUGUUAAAACAAAAUGAUUUAUAAUAAUGAUAAAUUUUGAAACAUGAUUAAAA